GACGAACGCUGGCGGCGUGCUUAACACAUGCCAGUCGAACGGAAAGGCCCUGCUUUUGUGGGGUGCUCGAGUGGCGAACGGGUGAGUAACACGUGAGUAACCUGCCCUUGACUUUGGGAUAACUUCAGGAAACUGGGGCUAAUACCGGAUAGGAGCUCCUGCUGCAUGGUGGGGGUUGGAAAGUUUCGGCGGUUGGGGAUGGACUCGCGGCUUAUCAGCUUGUUGGCGGGGUAGUGGCUUACCAAGGCUUUGACGGGUAGCCGGCCUGAGAGGGUGACCGGCCACAUUGGGACUGAGAUACGGCCCAGACUCCUACGGGAGGCAGCAGUGGGGAAUAUUGCACAAUGGGCGGAAGCCUGAUGCAGCAACGCCGCGUGCGGGAUGACGGCCUUCGGGUUGUAAACCGCUUUCGCCUGUGACGAAGCGUGAGUGACGGUAAUGGGUAAAGAAGCACCGGCUAACUACGUG
rnacentral:rRNA from 1 species